AAUAGAUACCCAGGUAGUCCACGCCGUAAACGAUGAGUGCUAAGUGUUAGAGGGUUUCCGCCCUUUAGUGCUGCAGCUAACGCAUUAAGCACUCCGCCUGGGGAGUACGGUCGCAAGACUGAAACUCAAAGGAAUUGACGGGGGCCCGCACAAGCGGUGGAGCAUGUGGUUUAAUUCGAAGCAACGCGAAGAACCUUACCAGGUCUUGACAUCCUCUGACAACUCUAGAGAUAGAGCGUUCCCCUUCGGGGGACAGAGUGACAGGUGGUGCAUGGUUGUCGUCAGCUCGUGUCGUGAGAUGUUGGGUUAAGUCCCGCAACGAGCGCAACCCUUGAUCUUAGUUGCCAGCAUUUAGUUGGGCACUCUAAGGUGACUGCCGGUGACAAACCGGAGGAAGGUGGGGAUGACGUCAAAUCAUCAUGCCCCUUAUGACCUGGGCUACACACGUGCUACAAUGGAUGGUACAAAGGGGCUGCAAGACCGCGAGGUCAAGCCAAUCCCAUAAAACCAUUCUCAGUUCGGAUUGUAGG
rnacentral:rRNA from 1 species